rnacentral:rRNA from 1 species
AACAAACGCUGGCGGCGUGCCUAAUACAUGCAAGUCGAACGGGGAAAGCUUUCGGGUGAGUACUAGUGGCGCACGGGUGAGUAACGCGUGGAUAAUCUGCCUUAGAGUGGGGGAUAACUAGUCGAAAGAUUAGCUAAUACCGCAUAAGACCACAAGAACUGCGGUUCAAGGGGUCAAAGGUUUUUCGCUCUAAGAUGAGUCCGCGUAAGAUUAGCUAGUUGGUGAGGUAAUGGCUCACCAAGGCGACGAUCUUUAACUGGUCUGAGAGGAUGAUCAGUCACACUGGAACUGAGACACGGUCCAGACUCCUACGGGAGGCAGCAGUAGGGAAUAUUGCACAAUGGAGGAAACUCAGAUGCAGCGACGCCGCGUGAGUGAUGAAGGCCUUCGGGUCGUAAAGCUCUGUCGCAAGGGAAUAACACAAUGAAUGUACCUUGCAAGAAAGGAUCGGCUAGCUUCGUGCCAGCCGCCGCCGUAAAAC